CGAACGGGUGAGUAACACGUGACCAACCUGCCCCAUACACCGGGAUAACCAGUGGAAACGCUGGCUAAUACCGGAUACUCUUCGGAUGUCGCAUGGCAUCCGAAGGAAAGCUCUCGCGGUAUGGGAUGGGGUCGCGGCCCAUUAGGUAGACGGCGAGGUAGAGGCUCACCGUGCCUGCGAUGGGUAGCCGGGUUGAGAGACCGACCGGCCACAUUGGGACUGAGAUACGGCCCAGACUCCUACGGAAGGCAGCAG
rnacentral:rRNA from 1 species